CGUGUAGGCGGCGGCAUAAGUCAGAAGUGAAAGUUGGCAGCUUAACUGCAAAAUUGCUUUUGAUACUGUGUUGCUUGAAUCACGUUGAGGCUGGCGGAAUGUGGCAUGUAGCGGUGAAAUGCUUAGAUAUGCCAUAGAACACCAAUUGCGAAGGCAGCUGGCUAGACGUGUAUUGACGCUGAGGCACGAAAGCGUGGGGAGCGAACAGGAUUAGAUACCCUGGUAGUCC
rnacentral:rRNA from 1 species